ACACCUAAAGACACGCCUAUGACCACAAGGAAAGCGAUGCUUCAGUCAAACCAGUUCUUUGCUGUGUACUGCCAAAAUACAACGAUACGGAUCCUUCGGUUAUGCACCCUGGUAUCUUCCUGGGCUGCUGGCUUCAGUUGCAGAUUCUUUAGGCAGUUUGCGUGUCUGUUUUCCCUAGAG